UCCCCAUUCCCUUCUCCCGUUCCCUCAGCCGCCGCACUCCACCUAUGUUCCCCUGCCGGCUCCCGAUCUAGAGCUUCCCUCUCCGCUCACCCUAUGCGUCCGGCCCCUCCGGACGACCCCAACUGCUGCGGCUAGACGACAUUCGGCGUCGUCCAUGACGGGCCCUUCCUCGGUCGCAGUCGACCAGCACAUGGACGGUGAACCCCAUGACGCUCUGGCCAUCUCAACCAGAUCGCCGCUGACAUCUUCGGCCGGCAGCGAGCCAUGGUGAGGUACAGGGCGCCGCCGUCGUCACGGAUGCGGAGUACAGGGCGCGACCGCCACGGAUCCAGCCUCUGCUUCACCGACGCGGCCCCCUUCUCUAUUGUAUCUCGUGGCUACUGAUCCAUCUUUGACCGGCAGCAAGCCAUGGUGAGGUACAGGGCGGCGCCGCCGUCACGGAUGCUGUGUUCAGGACGCCACCGACACGAAUCCAGCCUCUGCUUCACCGAUGCAGCCCCCUUCUCUGUUGCAUCUCCCGGCUAGGUACUUGCGAAACUGUACAGUUUAUGGCUACAACUUGAAGGUCCUUAUUUGGGUCUCGUCCAAAAAAAUGGAGCUGGAAAUUUUCCAUGCGAGCCUAAUUUUUAGAAUCAUGUUUUUAGUUUAUUCUGACUAGAAAUGUCCAGUGUGUGUUCCAUGAUGGUAACUCCAAAUAUGAUAUUUUUGGUCCUGUAGGUAUUUUCCAUGUAAAAAUAUAUACUUUUCUGUCUGUGUGCUUGGCUUUGUGCUAUUCAUAUCAAUGUUUAUAUAGGUGGAUUGUACAUUCUGAAUAUUUUCUUUGGAUAUUUUUUAUCUGCUAUAAUAUGAUCAUUAAGCACCAUGCGUAUGGAUUAUACCUUUCGUCUAUUUGAGCAUCUCCUUCAGGCUGGGUGUGUACUUAGAAAAUGGAGAAAUGUACUCCUUAGAGAUCGACAUGUAAGUGUAAUUUUCAUGUAAUUUGCUGAUGUAGUGUGUCUCUUCAUUCUGAGAUUGUGGGCGUAUUAUAAAUUGAGUUUGUUCGCUAUGUGCUCUGCCUAAGUUAUGUGAUUCAUGAAUCUGAAGAUAAAAAACUUCACAAGUUGCAACCCUGCCUAAACUACAUUUUGAUUGUCAACAUUUUUUUAGUUGAGAAAGUAAUAAGGUUCAAAAUCUUAGUUGUAGACACUGAAUGAAAAUUAAUCAUUUAUCAUUUGUUUCACUUACUAGGAGUGUUUAGUAAGUAUAUGGUUGCUUCAGCUUUUCCCUAUUAUUGUAUAGAAAAGUUCAUUUGAAGAGGAGGUUUGGAAUAAGGAAAUGAUUAACCUGUAGGAUGGAGGUAUUCUUAUGUAGUGAAAUAAUUUUCUAACAAUCCUAUUCAUUUGUGAAAAAACAAAAUAUACCAUUGUGAGGAAGUACAUGAUAAAUCACUUAGCUGUUUAAAAGCAUACUUUAUUAGGCCUGAAAAAAAUCUAACAUAAUUUUAUUUUUAUGUUUGACAUAACCAUAUAUAUAUUUCAGUACAUAUCAGUUGUGUCGCCCUAACUUUAGUAAUAAAUGCUUUUAUGUAACUUUUUUUGUGUCUACACUACUUUGUCUAAAUUAGUAGUGAUGAUUAUGAUUUGGUGUUGUUAGAUUCUAAAGGACCUUUUGUUUGUAGGCUAUUGUUAUGUUGUUGCAUCGCAAAUCUGGAUGACCACACAUCUCUUAUGAGAUUUGGAUAUUGAAUAAACCACCACCCUUUCCACUAUGGAAAGAUGGGGUUUGCUGGACUCCAAUGAGCAUUACGGUGUCCUUUUUGGAGAGAAUGAGCAUUCUGGUGUUGGAGCAGAAAUGAUGCAAAGGACAUUUGUGGCUAGUUUGUAAUUUUUUUUCCUGGGAACUGUUUUUCUUACGUUCCUGGCUGUAAUUAUUUUUUUCUGUAAUUUUUAUUCGAUUAAAACUUUUUAAGGGAAUUCUUUUGUUAGA